CCAUUUAGGGCCCAUCGUCUGCAGGAGGCGGCUGGCGCAGACGUAGACUGGAACGGCCCACGCGGCGGCCGGCACCGGAUCGCAAACGCAGGGCUUCUUGCGAACACGCCACCAACCCCAUGAACCCGACGAUGGCUCACUGAGGGUAUACAUACAGCACCGGCGCUGCCGAUCCUGGACUCGCUGUACCUCCCGGGGUCUCUGGAGUCCUGAAUCCUGGAGUUCUGUGUCCUAGAGUCCCGUAUCCUGGAGUCCUGUAUCGUGGAGCUUCUGCAUGGCUUCCUGGCGACCGUGCAAGGGACCAGGAAACUCCCCUGUCUAGGACGCUCUACGUUCUUCUGUUACACCAGCUACACUUCAUAACAAAGAGUCCUGAGAAGUUGAAGCCGUGGCCCCGAGCAACUGGGAACAUACCGACACCACUGAAGAAAAGUACAAAAGUUAUACUAAACAAGGCUUACUAAAAUUAACUUUGCCGUGACAUUGUGGGUAUUUUCUUAGUAUUGAUAGGUCGCGUGAUCUCAGAUUCAAGAGACAGAGAGACAAAACUACGCGCGAUUUGGUACAAUCUUCUUUCACUUGUACACUGUUCUUGAACCCUUCUUUGUUGGUCUAUACAUGCAUACCACUUGUGCCAACUCGCUGCUUUAAUAGACUGUUCGUUUGCAUAGGGGCUUCUCCAAUGUGAAUGCCUGCGCACACGAUACAACGUCCUAUCACUGGCUCAUUUCGUCAACAUUGAGUGAGUGUAAGGAUGUUCUAAAGGAGAGAAAGAGAGAGAGGGAGAAAGGGAGGUACUGUUGAAUUUGACAACACCCCCAGUCUCGUAAAAGCUCGUGGAAAUAGAAAGCACGGAUCGCGCCACUUCUACAGACCACGCCCAAACCGCUGGGAGAGAAAGCAGUCUGCGCCAGAAACGUUCAGCUAGCUAAAAGCGCCUUCACAAACUUUAUAGGAAGAGUGCGCAGCACUGCGUAAAGUCUAAGCAGUCGAAAACAAACGAACACAACGCCGUAUACUCUCAAAAUGCCAUAGAAAGUGCGGUCACUUCUUAUGGCGCUCGCAGAAUCGGCCAAGCUGCACAAUUUAGCCCGCCUUUGGGAUAAUAGCAUCCAGACGACAGACACUCGUGUAACGCAUACCCCUGGCGUCCUCGACCAGAAAUGGGCUAAAAAGCACGUCUUCUUCUCGGCAGCGCCUGACUUCAAGAGCUAUGCCAUCCUCGUUGCCAUAGGGACUGUGGUCUCCAGAGUCUAUAGGGCGACCCUCUUUCGGAAAGCACUUUCUCUUGUACCAUGGCACGUGUGCAAAAGGAGCACCCAACAGUCUGCGCACCAAUGGCCGCUGUAGGAGUAAUGGGCCCUUCGCCGGCAUUGUUUCCAGCACCCGAAAAUGGUGCUUGUACUUCCGCCCGCUGGAACGGCAGUUGGUGUAGCGGUGUAGCAGACAGCGCUUUCCUCCUAAAAGCGCGGCUUCGCCCCUGAGUUAUGGUCGCCUGGGGAUUUUCUGUCUUUUUCGCGCUAAGAAUGCCUGUAAGCGAAAGGCAGAGCGGAGAGGAAAGACAUAGGUGUCAGAGCUACGUCGACAAGAUUGCGACAGCCUUCUACGAUGCAAUAACAAGCUUUCGAACGAAGGGCGCCAUUGAACCUAAAGGAACCUGCGAUUGGUCUCUCCACGACUUAACGACAUGUUAAACAAGAAGGCUCUCUGGAAAA
rnacentral:lncRNA from 1 species